UGUAAAAAAAAAAAAAAAAACCAUCUUUUUACCUCUCUAAUUAUGCUGAAAAACUUUAAAGUGAUAUUAUUAUCCCGUAAUCAAUUGAUAUUCUUAAUUGAGUAUUAUGCUCUUGGCCUUUCUCCCACCUUUUCCUCUUCAGUAACAUAUGUAUUUAACAGCCCUUAAGGCCUUAACUACUACUAAUUAUUUCUCUCCUCAUUAAUGUAAUUAACAUCCCUCAACCUAUUACUAAUUAUUUCUCUCCUAAUUACUACUAAUUAUUUCUUCUCCUAAAGUCCCUCUUUCUUCCUCAGUUUCAGACCUAUUUCUACUUCAAAAUCCCAGCCUUCAACCACUUCACUGCUGGUCCAGGUUGAUUAAUGUGUAUAUUUGGAUUAUUUUGCUCACGAGGAUAUUGUUAAGUCGUUUUUAAUUAGUAUUUUCUGAAGCAAUUACGAUUAAGAGACGUUUAAAGUCUAUCAUAAGGAGUGGUAAUUGAUAUAUCAAUUACCUUUUUAGAUGAAGAUGUUUGAUAAAAAUAGAAAAUUAAAAAAAAAGAGACUUUGCCUACAUAAUUAAUUUCACGUGAAAAGGAAUAAAGGUCAAAUUAUAUUUUUAUCAUUUAUGUUAUUAAUUUUCUUUUGUGCAUAAACCAUGUAUAAGGGAAAA